CCAGCGGUUUUGUGUGUUAUGCUUCAGGGAACCGAGCAGAGAGCUUGGGCAAUCUGGGAAACCACGACAUGGUGAACAGGGGUCUGAUGUCCCCAGAUGGGGAGGAGCAGAUGGAGAAGAAAAACUUUGGGUUCCAUCAAAAUUAAUCAAGAUUCGAUCGGAACAGAAGACAUCUCAGGAGGAGGAAAGAUAACAGCUCUUCUACAAAGUCAUAUUCUGCCAUGGAUAAAGUGACCUCAUAAAAGGAAAGAGAAGUGUUUUGUUUUUUGU